AUUGAACGCUGGCGGCAGGCCUAACACAUGCCAGUCGAGCGGAUGAAGGGAGCUUGCUCCUGGAUUCAGCGGCGGACGGGUGAGUAAUGCCUAGGAAUCUGCCUGGUAGUGGGGGAUAACGUCCGGAAACGGGCGCUAAUACCGCAUACGUCCUGAGGGAGAAAGUGGGGGAUCUUCGGACCUCACGCUAUCAGAUGAGCCUAGGUCGGAUUAGCUAGUUGGUGGGGUAAAGGCUCACCAAGGCGACGAUCCGUAACUGGUCUGAGAGGAUGAUCAGUCACACUGGAACUGAGACACGGUCCAGACUCCUACGGGAGGCAGCAGUGGGGAAUAUUGGACAAUGGGCGAAAGCCUGAUCCAGCCAUGCCGCGUGUGUGAAGAAGGUCUUCGGAUUGUAAAGCACUUUAAGUUGGGAGGAAGGGCAGUAAGUUAAUACCUUGCUGUUUUGACGGUACCAACAGAAUAAGCACCGGCUAACUUCGUG
rnacentral:rRNA from 1 species